rnacentral:lncRNA from 1 species
UGACAUAGCCCUAACACCAGGCAUAUAAUUUAGCACACUAGCUACAACCAGUGAGACUACUGCAGUGAUAGUCUUGACGGGUGAUGUGACUAAUGUUAAGAAGAGUGGGGCCCAAGCUGAAGGUCCCUAUGAUGAUAGAGUAUGAGAUGGUUCCUUGAGCACCCAGGUAUAUCCUUUAUCCCAGUUUAAAUUUCUAGAUGCAUUGGAGACAGUGCAUAAGUUUUAAUUGGGGGUGGAGGUG